GACGAACGCUGGCGGCGUGCCUAAUACAUGCAAGUGGGACGCAAGGAAACACACUGUGCUUGCACACCGUGUUUUCUUGAGUCGCGAACGGGUGAGUAACGCGUAGGUUACCUGCCUAUUAGCGGGGGAUAACUAUUGGAAACGAUAGCUAAUACCGCAUAAUAUUAAUUAUUGCAUGAUAAUUGAUUGUAAGAUGCAAGCGCAUCACUAGUAGAUGGACCUGCGUUGUAUUAGCUAGUUGGUAAGGUAAGAGCUUACCAAGGCGACGAUACAUAGCCGACCUGAGAGGGUGAUCGGCCACACUGGGACGGAGACACGGCCCAGACUCCUACGGGAGGCAGCAGUAGGGAAUCUUCGGCAAUGGACGAAAGUCUGACCGAGCAACGCCGCGUGAGUGAAGAAGGUUUUCGGAUCGUAAAGCUCUGUUAUAAGUCAAGAACGUGUGUGAGAGUGGAAAGUUCACACAGUGACGGUAGCUGACCAGAAAGGGACGGCUAACUACGUG
rnacentral:rRNA from 1 species